ensembl:lncRNA
GUGAGGUGGCUGGGCUGCAACAUUGAGACCAGAAGCCAGAACCAGGGUGAGGGGGUUGAGGGUGGAGGGGAGUGGCUGGGGGGGGGUGGGGGGCGGGUGGCAACGAUAGACUAAGCUUCCUCUGCCUCGGUGCCCCUCCGCUUCCCAGGAAUUUCAGGAAAAUACCUGCCAUGUGUUCCUGCUCUUCCAACGCCGCCCCAGUCCCCCGCGCCCGCGCCCGGGUGUGGAAUUUGAUGGGCUGAGGGAAGCGCGGCCAAGGCCCACGUGGCUCAGUGCCUGCCAGCAACCUCAGCUUUUCCUUCUGCUCACGGACUGUGCUGCCCAAGGUCUGAGGCGGCACUUCCAUCCCGCGGCCAUUUUCUGAGAGUGUCGCUGUGGGGGAGGGGAAUGCCAGAUGGGGUGGGGCCAAGGGGGCGUGGUGUCUCAAGGAACCUCCUGCAGGGCGGAGGAUAAGGCUCCUUCCAGGAGGGGCCCAGCUCGCCUGGCUUUCUGCAGCGCCCAGGCCCUCAGAUCACAGACGUUUUGAUGAGGCCUCAGUGGCAGUGUAAGUUCAGAUCUUCAGGUAGAUCCCGGUUCUAACUCGUUUAUUUAUUCAUUCAACAAACACUUACUCAACACUUACUGUGUGCCAAGUACUGCCACAAGUAUUGGUAUAAGAAGAUGAAUAUGACACAGUGCCAGCCGCCAAGGAGCUCACCAUCUACCUGGGGAGACAAAUAGGGUACCAUGCACAAGAUAGAAGCAGUCACCAAGUCCAGCAUUGAAAACCAUCCCUCUCAGUGACUGCCUUCCUUUUGGGCCCUGCCGUCUCCAUGGCGUGGGUCAUCAUCCGGGAGGCAGCCGGAGGGAGGUGAGCACGGACUCUGAAGAAGGACGCUCUGGGUGUGCAUUCUGGCUCUGUCACGUGACUUGGACAAGCUAACCUUUCUGUCCCUCAAGUUAUUCUUAUAAAACUAUUGAUGUUACGUCUUACUUUGCAGGGCUAUUAUGAGAAUUAAAUGAAAUAAUAUUUAUAAAAAUGCAGGUGACUAAACAGUGUGGUCCCAAUUGAUUUUAUUUGAUGUGAUGAUCAGUAGAAAAAAGUCUAUAAGGAUGUGUACCAAAAUGUUAACGAUGUUUUUAUAUUGAGGUGAGAUUUAUGGGCUUGUUUUUUUUUUUUAACUUGUAUCUCCCCAAUCAUUUUAUCAAAAUGUCUAGGUGUUAUUCUGACAGAAAUAGAAAGUCCACUUUUCCCCAAGAAUGGCAUUCAUAUAUUCAUAGGCUUUCUCUAUUUAUGAUUUUCAAUAAAGUUUAUGGACAAAACAUUUUUCAAGAAUAUUGUUGAGAAUAAGCUGAAGGUGAUAUCUCAGUUGUUAUUCUGAAAACCCUUUGUCCAUUUUGACCUUUGCGCCCCACUGACGACAUCUACCACAUCCAGAGGUGGUUCAGACGGCAACUGACUCAGUAGGGUGGAUGUGCAGGGUGCUUCAGGAGGAUGGUGAGGGAACACUUAAAGACGCUUGGGUGCGUGUGGUGGGCAUGGGGACGUGCUGUCAAAGUCGAGGGUGGAUUUGUUGCUCUAGGUGCUUGGAGUGUUGUCAGUAAACCGCCUCUAGCAGUCAGCUCCUUAGGGAGCUGCCUUGCCCAAGGUCAGCCAUUUUGGGGGUGGCCCACUUCCAAUGACUGAUCCAGGCAGAGUAUAAAAGCCCAGCGAUUUCGGCCAAUGCAGGAUACCUCUGAGGGGCUAUUUGCUCUGACUGUGGGAUUGGCCAGGCCUGCUGGACCUGUAUUGCAGCCUGUCUUCUCCCAGUGGCCACUCCUGCUUCCUUCCUCCCCCUUUCAGAGGUGUAGGUCCCACGGGCUUUCCCUCUUUAACAUCCUGAAGCCUAAAUGCCUUCUCAGAGUCUAGUUGUUGGAGAGCUCAAACUACAACAGUUGGAUCUAGCUAUGCUUUCUUUUGGAGCAGGGGUCAGUAAACUUUUCUGUAAAGGGCCAGACAGUAAAUAUUGUAGGCCCUACAGUCCAACUCUGCCUUUAUAGCAUGAAAGCAGCCGUGGAUAAUAUGUGGAGGAGUGAGCAUGGCUAUGUUCCAAUAAAGCUUUAUUUACCAAAAUAAACACUCAGCUGGAUUUGGCCUUUGGGUAUAGUUUGCUAAAGAAUUACUGAUUACUGACAAUUACUAAUUAAUUUCAGAGAACUGGAGAAUUCCAGAUUAAUUUCUUCGUGCCUGAGAUUGCAUAAAUUACAAAGCAGCUCAUUAUUAUUCUCAUGAAUGCUGGAUAAAGCCAGUAAGACAUACUCCUACCAGAGCUAGUAGCGCACAGAUUCACGAUCUAAUGCUAGAAGGUGUCUUCUGCCCUGGGCAGAGUUUUUCCCUUUAGCCUGGUUCCUCAGCACCUUUGGCAUCCCCGUCCCAGGAUCCAUGGAGAUGGAGAAAGAGGACUCCCCAAGGGAAGAAUGAAGGAGGGAAGUGGCCAAGGCCCCUGCCAGGACCUUUGCGUGUGUUAUUUCACUCCAGCCUCACCACCUGUGUCACCCCCGUAUUACAGAGGAAGAAAUGGUCUCAGAGAAGGUAUGAGUGUGGUGGGAGCUCAGCACCAAACCCUAUCACCUUCCUUCUGUCAGGCAGCUGUCAUCACCCCCACAGGCCUUUUCUUCACAGCUUGUUGUCAGGAGGCUGGCCAACAUCUUGGGAAGGUGAGAGAGGAAAUUGGGAGGCUGGGGCUGGAGGGAAUCCUGCCACCAGCGUUCUCUCUUCCCCUAGGUCUGAUGGAAAUAACACUGCUCCGGCACCCGGAGACCUGGCUGUGGCCCAGCCUCAGCUGCACGUCAGCGGCAUGGCCCUGGAGACGACCCUGUGGGAGGCGACUGUCUGCUAUGGCGGAACCCCGGGACACCCCUUCCUCGGGGAGCCUUUCCUUUCUCCUCUGGUGGCGAGGCUGAUGCCUCCUCCCUGACUUGGUGAGGACCGAGUGAAGUGGGAUAUGUGCUGUGCCUUGGAAACCGUCAAAUACCACCUAAAGUCUAGUGUCUUCAGUGAACUUCAGCCCCAUCCUGUGGCCUCCAGUUGUGUGAUACUAUCAGAUGGCCCCUUGCUGCUGGAGUGGAUGUUCUUGGCAAUGAAAAGAAGAAGUGGGGGCAAAGGUGAAGUAUGGGGCCUAGAUGCUUCUAGCAGUUUAGAUGAUGACUUCUCAGGAACUUGUUGUUAACUGCUCUGCACCCCCUGCGUUGAUUAGAUUCUGGUUCUCUGGGGCCAGUUUCUUCAUGCUGUCUGGAGCCCCAGCUUCGCACCUGGCUGACUCACCUUUUGCACUGAGUUCAGCACUGGAGAUGGAGAGGGGGUGGGGAGGAGAGGAGAAAUUUUAGUGCUGUAUGAAUUCAGUUGGAAAAAUAAUCAUACAGGAUUUAAGCAAAUCUCAUAUUGCCCCUGGAAUGGUUUUAGGUUUUUUUAUAAAACCCAACCAGCGUCAGCUGAUGCCCCAUCUCUUCAAGGUCAAACAUUCCAAGAUUCUAGAGCAAAGCUGUGUUCCCAGAUUUGUCUAGAAGCCCUUUCUCCCCCCUCACCUUAACUGACGCCUGGAUGGUCCCCAUGAGGGAUUUCUUUUGCAGCCUCUCCCAAGCCUCCCAUUUGGAGAGUGGGGCUGCCCAGUUCCUUCUCUCCUGGUGUCACUUUGAGAUUACUGCUCAGAGGAACUUAUUCUUUUCUCAAGAGACUGUUUUCUUUUAAAGUUCACAAUGUUCAUUUUUUUCUUUGUUUGCUGCAAGGAGAACUCUGAUUCUGACUGAAAUUCUGCCAAUUAGAAAGAUUGUUUUCCAAUCGUCUUGAAAUUUUUCAGAGUUGCUCAAAGUGUUGGGAAAAUUGGAUGCCAGAAUUUGUAGAUCCCUGGCCAACCAAGAGACAUGGGCAGAAGGUGACCUGGUCUUCAGAGCUCUCACAAGAUCUCUGAGAGAGACUGGUAUGACAGUCCUUGGGGACCUUCCCCCUUUAUAAAUGCUGUGUUCAUUUUUUAAUAAGAUAUUUGACAUAUAUAAAAAUAAAAUAUAAUGUAUGUAAGGUGAAAAAAAUACUCCUGGACCACUCGCCCAACUUGAGAAAUAGAACGUUGCUGGAAUGAUGAAGCAGCCGCGGGCGCUCGCUGCUGGUUGUCCCCUCACCAAGAGGAACAUGUGUGUCUGUUGUUCUCUUGCCUGUCAUUGCAGUUUGAAAACGUGUUUAGUAAAAUGAAUAUAUUUGAUAAUUUUGUGUGCAUUUGAACUUUAUGUGAAUAGUAUCACACAGGGUAAUUUUUUGUGCCUUCUGUUUUUCAGGUUCAUCUGAAUUGAUGCCUUUAGCCAUAGUUAAUUCAUUUUUGCUGCUGAAUAGUAUUCCGUUAUAUGACUAUGCCACACUUUUUUUACCAUCCCCUGCCUGUGUGCAUUUGGCUAUUUCCCAUUAUGCUAUUGAUAGUAAUGCUGCUGUAAAUAUUCUUGGCCAUGUUUCCUGGGCACGUGGACGAGAUUUUCUCCUGGGUCACAGUAUUUCCUUUUACCAUUUUCUCUAUAUUCUCAUCUUCUCUGCUAGGAUUCUCUCCUUCUUCAGUGAUGUCAUUUCUGGUUAUUGUCCUCAGAGACUCUGCUGCACACACCGAUGGUAUAAACGUAAACAAGCCACAGUGCCUUUCUUUGGUCCGCUCCAGGGUGGCGGAAUAACUGAUCACAGCAGUCACGUUGUGACCCACUUGAAACCCCAGCGCUGGAUUCUUGGAGGUCAGCUCGCCUGUCGUGCCGUCUUCCCCUCUCUCCUGGUCACCACGGCUCCUCCCUGCCUAAAGUCUCUAUCUUUACUUAUUCUUUUCACAGCACCCCUGCUUUUGGGUCCCAGACAGUCUCCGCGUUCCAAGUCAGAUCUUUUCCCCGUCCUCAUGAUUCUAUCCCAUGGCCAAGUCCCUCAAUCUCCCCUUCACAUAUUUUCAUUUUCAGUCCAUAGUUUUUCUCUAAGCCCACCAAACUUGGUGGGGGUUCCCCAUGCCCCUCAAAUCCCCAACAUCUUUGAUUUUUUCUCUUAGACGACUAUCUCGCCUCUGCCUUUCCCUGAAGAACUUUGCUGCUUUUACCAACAUCUCUCAUCAUUUGACUUCUGCCCCAGCCUCUGUGGAAGAUGCCCUCUCAGAGCUCACCAGUGACCUCCCAAGGAUCAAGGCUGAAGGCUGUGUCAUUGUCCUUCCUCACCUGGCUGCACCCCUGCCGUCUGAAACUCCUUCUUUGGUUUGCACAGCAUGCCACUGCCCCGAUCGUCCUCCCGACCCGUUCCUCGUCUGCCUUAUACUUCUUGUCUGUGUACGUUCCUUAGGUUCUACCUCGGAGAAAUCAUCCAUUCCUUCCAUUUUAGCCAAGACACAACCAUCUAACCCAGGAAAUUAACAUUAGUACCAUUUAACUCUCAGACCCUGUUUGAAUUUUACUUAUUGUCUGAGUAACGUCUUUUACAGCAACAGGACCUAACCUAGGAUCAGUCAUGUCUCAGUCUCCUUCAGUCUGGAUUUGUUCCUCAGUCUUUCCUUGACUUCAUGAUCUUGAUGGUUUUGAAGACACAAGUCCAAUUAUUUUGUCAAAUGUCCCUCAGUUUUGGUUUACUGAUGUUUCCUCAUUAGAUUUAAGUUAUACAUCUUUGCUAGGAGUAUUCCAGAGGUGAUGCUGCUACAUCCUCAUUAGAUUUAAGUUAUACGUCUUUGCUAGGAGUAUUCCAGAAGUGAUGCUGCAUUCCUUUCAUUGCACUACUAAAAGGCGUAGGAUUCAAAUGUAUCCCAUUACUGAUGACAUUAAUUUUGAUCGCUGGAUUAAGAUUGUAUCUCUCAGCCUUUUCCACUGUGAAAUUACUUCUCUCCUCUUUGUAGGUAAUGAAGUAAUUAAUGAAUAUAUAUGGGAAGCUGCUUUGAGACUCUGUAAAUAUCCUGUUAAUCAUCAAACUUUCAAUUUACUCUUUAUUUAUGUCAGUAUGAACUCAUGAAUUGCUAUUUAUUCAAUGGAUUUUAAUCUAUUGUUAUUUAUUAUCAUCGUUUAUUUUGGUACUGAAUUGUCAAGCUGGCUUUAGAGUCCUUUUGACAUGUUCUGUCGUUCUUUGAAAACUGCCUUAUUUUCUGGCACAAAAAGUUGUUUCAGGCUCACCUUUUACUUUUUCUAUUCGGUCUUAGAAUUAGCCAUUUUUUUUUAAGGAAUGCGGUAUUCUUUUAGUGAAAAAUGGUAUUUAGAACCCAAAAUCUGGGUUCUUGAUGAGUUUACUGCUGUUGGGGUGUUAUUGCUCCCACCCUCUCUCAGAGGGAAGAGCUAGGGAAUACACACAUUUACAUCUCUAUUUCUCUCUAUAUUGAUAACUAUGAGUUCACAUUUAUAUCUCUAAUUCAAAUCCAUAGGGUUUACUCUAGUUUUCUCCCUUUCCAUUUUCGUAACUGUGAUGGUUAAUUUUAUGUGUCAGUCUGACUGGGCUACGGGGCCCCCAGAUACUUGGUUAAACAUUAUACCGGUGUGUCUGUGAGGGUGUUUCUGGAUGAGAUAAACAUUUGAAUUAAGUUUAGUAAAGCUGAUUGCCCUCCCCAGUGUGUGUGGGCCUCAUCCAACCCACUGAAGUCCUGAAUAGAACAAAAAGGCUGAGUAAGAACGAAUUCACUCUCUGCCUGACUGUCUUCGAGCUGGGACAUUGGUCUUCACCUGCCUUCGGACUUGGACUUGGACUUGGACUCAGGCUGACAGGUACACCAUUAGCUCUCCUAGUUCUCAGGCCUUUGGACUGGAGCUACACCAUUGGCUCUUCUGGGUCUCCAGUUUGCCAACAGCAGAUCUGGGGACUUCUCAGCCUCCAUAACCACGUGAGCCAAUUCCUUAUGAUAUAUCUCUUUAUAUCUGUAUUAUCUGUAUCUACAUCCACAUCUACAUCUAUAUCUAUAUUUACUUCUCCUGUUGGUUCUGUUUCUCUGGUGAAUCUAGACUAAUACAGCAUCCCAGUGAAAAGCCUGGGUUCUAUAAUUUUCAAUAUAUUUACCUGUUUGAUCAAUUGUCCUUUAUGUUAAUGAAUUCCCCUCAUUGCCACCACUCAACUCCUCCUUCAUGGAGAUCAUCCUUACCUCUCUGAGGCUCUGACAACGUGUGCUGUGUUGCCCUUUUGUACAGAUGGUCUCUUUGCCUAAGUUGGGCUCUGAGACCCCUCGGAGGGCCCAGGUCACCCUCUUAUGCUGACACCUGACACCCCUGGCUCAGGUUACUGUUCCUUCUCCCAUAGUGUGAAUGCCUACCUUCUCAACUCCACCAAUAGCUUUAGGACUGAAUUGUUCAGGAAGGAAAGGAAAGGGAAAGAAGAGAAGGGGAGGGGAGAGAAAUGGUAGUGAAGAGAAAGAAGAAGAGGAACAGGAAGAGGGACAUAAUUUUUCUUUCAAAAUCUAGUUCCUUCCUUCCAACUAUUUGCCAUUGGCACUGAUGCAUCCUACAGGCACUUUAAAAUCUACAUACCUAAAACUGCUCAUGUUUCCUUUCCGGUAAAACCUUUCUCUCUUCACUCUCCUAUGCUGCUGAUGGGAGUAUAAAUAGUUUAUUCUUUCUGGAGGACACUUUGGCAAUAUGGUUCAAAAGCCUUAAAAAAAAAAUCCUACGUUUCUUUUGACCUUGAAUUAUACUUUUAGGAAUUUAUACUAAAGAAAUAAUUAAAGAUGUACAGAGACAUUCAGAUUUAAGGAUGUUAAUUAUAGCUAAAAUUGGAAUUAUACAGAAUGUUUUGCAUCAGGGAGCAGAUAAAUUGGGAUAAACCCAUAAGUUAGGAUUCUAUGUCAUCAGUACAAUAAUGCUGAAUUACAAUCAUUGAUAUGGAAAGAUGUUCACUAUAUGAUAUUAAGUGAAAAAAACUGAUAAAAUGGAAUUAUCCCAAUUUAUUAUUAAAAUAUUAGAAAUAUAUAUGUAUAGGAGAAAAAACUUAGGAUGGUAUAUCAGAAGGGAAUUUUAAUAUUGAGAUUAUGGACUUUUUUUCACUCAAUAUUUUUAGUCUUUUCUUCACCAAAUACUUUUAUUUAUACAAAAAUCAAAAGCUAUGAAAAGAAAACUACAUAGGUCUUUGUGCUGAAUUUGCCAUUUCUGUAAAUGGUACAGCUGUUCUUGAAGUCUUCAGACUCUGAAUCAUCGCUGAUGUCUCCAUCUUAUCAGUCACAGAGUCCUCUAGAUACUCUUUUCACAAUAUUUCUUGGGGUGCCCCUUCCUUCUAUUUGCCUGCCACCGCUCCAGCUCAGACCUUGUCGUGUCAUACCUGGGCCAUUUCACAGGCUGCAUUGACGGAGCUCUCUACUCUACCCUGAUCCAGGCAGCCAGAUGAGUUUCCCUGAGGCAGUUCUUUCAUCACAUUGCUCCCUGCGCAGAAAUCUCUGGUGGUUCUUCUCUGCAUCUCCAAUAAAGGCUGGAUGCCUUAGCUCAGGCUUCCAUAACCUGGUCCCACCCAGUGUUGCAGUAAUCAUACUCAAACUCUAUGCUCCAGCAACAUUUUCCAGCUUUACUUUCUAUGAACAUAUAUUGCAUUUUCCUGCCUCUGUGGUUUGCUCAACUACUGGUCAUUCUGGAAUCACCUUUUCCCUCUACUUUUACUUCUGCUCAUUCUUUAGUGCCCGACUUAAAUGUCACCUCUUCUAUGGUCUCUCUCCCCAGGGGCCCCAUUGGAUGUAAUUUUCUCAUCUCUGAACAGUCUAGCAUUUUGUGUCACUCCCAUUUUAUACACCAUAUUCAGCACUCUAUUCUUUCUUCAGUUGGGCAAACUUUCUUCCCCUUGGGUAUAGUCAGUCCAUUCUAGAAUUUGAGCCUUCUUCCUUGGAAUUCCUUAUGCUUGGCUCAACCUUCCUAUCCAUUUUUAUGCCCCACUCUAUGUUACAGAAAACCCUAAAUUGAGAUCAUAAGACUUAGACUUGAUCUUCUUAAUCUUCUUCCUUGAAAUUGUCUGCUUCUCAAUUCACUAAAACAUGGUUUCUGCCCCUCUAAAUGCUAUCAAAAUUGACUGGCGAAGGUCAUCAUGAACCCCAUUUGCUAAAUCUAAUAAACUCAUGUGUGAGAGGGAGUGCAGUGCAGGAGGGCUGACUGACGCUGCAGCUGGAUGGACUAGGACUGGAGCCCAACUUCCCCUUUUACUGUCUCUAUCUUGUACGAGUUACCUGACUUCUUCAAGGACUAGUUUCCUCAUCUUUGAAGUGAGGAGGAAUAAUAGUGCCUUCUUACAAAGAUUGUUGUAAAAAUUAAAUGAGAUGAUGUUCAUAGAGUGUUUGCACAGUGUUGGACACCACGAAGUGCUCUGUAAAUAUUAGCUGCUGUAGUUAUUGCACCAUAAAGUCUAGGACCAUUGCACUGGCUCUGCCUACCCUUCUUCACCCUCAAUUCUUGUUGAAGCCCUUCCUUCCUGCCCAUCCCAUAUACUUUAUGCUUCAGUUAUGGAAGACUGCAUAUAGGCUCCCAAACACACUCACUCUGGCCCUUCUCUGAGUUUUUGUGCUUGCUCUUUCUUAGACCAAGAAUCUCCUUUACCCAUUCCUUAUUUGCCCAGUAGACUCCUAUUCAUCUUUUGAAACCUAAUUCAUAUGUCACCUUCUAGUAAAGCCCGCCCUCCUUUUCCCCAGUCAAGGAAUUUACUUUCUCCUCUAUGUAAUCUUUGUACCUUGCAUGUGUUUCCAUUGGUGCUCUUACCACAUUGCACUAUAACUUCUGUGUUUACACUGACAUCCCCCAGCUGUAAACUCCUUGACUCUGUUCUCUUUUCGGUUCCUACCACAGCGUGUGGCACAUACUAGACACUCAGCAAGAUUUGCUGAAUGAAGUGGAAGGAGGCAAAGCUGGGAAACGGCAGAGGCAGGACUCGAAGUCAGGACUUCUUACUCCUAGUCCCGUGUGCUCUCACUGACCUUCCCCCAAAGCCGCAAGCACAUUGAGUCAGUUGUGCAGGUUGUCAUCUACUGUCUCGUGGCCGUGGACUGACCCUGAGAGUGAGAUUUAUUGCCUGGUAUUAGAAAAGCUUUAGAUUCCAGCUCCUCUCAAAGGAGUUGUGCAAAGAAGGGACUAAAGGACGUCAGAAAACAGUGGGCAUGUGGAAGACUCUGAGGCUGAAGGCAGGAAUCUUCCAAGACCCCAUCAAAAGCAAAAUGAAAACUCUUUUUAAAAGCUCAGUAAAAAGAGAAAGACACUUAAAAAAUUGAUAUUAACGUGAUCUCCAGGCUGUGUUUAUUGAAACAAUCUUAGGUCCAUAAUCAAAACAAUGUUUUGUCAUUUCCCCUCCAGGCUGGUCACAAGCUACAAACUGGAUCAUUUGACACAUCUCUCGUGCACUUGAAACUCAAAUUGAAACUCUGCCAUUUUAACUGUACAAAGAAAAAUAACUUUUCAAAGCCCCACAUAUAUAUUUUUCUGAUUCAUCCUUUUGAUAUUUUACUUGGACCAAAACCCAAAUUCACUUGGUUUUCUCCAAGCACAUAUUUGGGCUACUUCCAUCAUUGUUCUUGGAAAUGGUUUUUCCUUUUGACAUACUGUAUGUUCAGUAUACAACCUGGUCAACACCAUCACAGGCCACAGCACUGACUCCCUCGUGGGCUGUCAGGAGCAUCUCAAAAAGAUUAUGUCUCCACUUAGGCUCAUCAGCUGCUUGUUUUGCAAUGUUCAGGAAAACACGUGUGUGUGUGUUUAUGUGUUUAUGUCAGCGUGAGUUUUGUGUCUGCUGGGGGAAAUGCUGGGUUAGCAUGUUUUUCAGAGUUUGAAGAAUUUCUGUGGCUUAUUUGCUGAUAUGAAUAAAAGUCAGAACAUGUUUUGGAAAGACAUGUGUAUAUGUUUUCAUUUAUUGGAGGGAGUAUCUUAAGUAUAGGAGACUUACCGUGGGGAGACAUUGUGUCUCCUGGGUGAUGUAAGCAGUGGAUAUUUAGUAGGAGAAAAUGGAAAGCUCAUCAAAGCUGGGCAAAUUUUCACCUUAUUGUCUGAGAGGAGGAAGAGUCAGCUUGUUCCAUUGUUGUGGGGUUUGACCAUGGUGGCUUCCAGGAACUGGG